rnacentral:rRNA from 1 species
UACGUAGGGUGCGAGCGUUGUCCGGAAUUACUGGGCGUAAAGAGCUUGUAGGUGGUUUGUCGCGUUGUUCGUGAAAUCUCACGGCUUAACUGUGAGCGUGCGGGCGAUACGGGCAGACUAGAGUACUGCAGGGGAGACUGGAAUUCCUGGUGUAGCGGUGGAAUGCGCAGAUAUCAGGAGGAACACCGGUGGCGAAGGCGGAUCUCUGGGCCGUAACUGACGCUGAGGAGCGAAAGCAUGGGGAGCGAACAGG